rnacentral:rRNA from 1 species
GACGAACGCUGGCGGCGUGCUUAACACAUGCAAGUCGAACGAUGAAACCUAGCUUGCUAGGUCGAUUAGUGGCGAACGGGUGAGUAACACGUGACUAACCUGCCCCUUUCUCUGGGAUAACGCCCCGAAAGGAGUGCUAAUACCGGAUACUCACACCGAGGCACACGCAUUGGUGUGGAAAGUUUUUCGGAAAGGGAUGGAGUCGCGGCCUAUCAGCUUGUUGGUGAGGUAACGGCUCACCAAGGCGACGACGGGUAGCGGGCCUGAGAGGGCGACCGGCCACACUGGGACUGAGACACGGCCCAGACUCCUACGGGAGGCAGCAGUGGGGAAUAUUGCACAAUGGGCGCAAGCCUGAUGCAGCGACGCCGCGUGAGGGAUGAAGGUCUUCGGAUUGUAAACCUCUUUCAGUAGGGACGAAGCGAAAGUGACGGUUCCUAAAGAAGAAGCACCGGCUAACUACGUGCCAGCCGCCGCGGUAA